GCGACUCUCUGGACCAACACUGACGCUGAGGCACGAAAGCGUGGGUAGCAAACAGGAUUAGAUACCCUGGUAGUCCACGCCCUAAACGAUGUCAACUAGCCUUCAGUCUCCCUUUACACAUUGGUGGUGGAGCUAACGUAUUAUGUUGACCGCCUGGGGAGUACGCUCGCAAGAGUAAAACUCAGAGGAAUUGACGGGGGCCCGCACAAUCGGUGUAGCAUGUGGUUUAAUUCGAUGCGAUUUGCAGACCCUUACCUGGUCUUGCCCUGUCGUGAAUUUUGGAUAAAUGUUUUGGUGCCUUCGGGAACUCUAACACUGGUGCUGCCCGGCUGUCUUCAGGUCGUGUCGUGAUAUGUUGGGUUCUGUCCCGCCUCGAGCGCAACCCCUAUCCCUAGUUGCCAGGUCGUAAUGGUGGGAACUCUAAGGAGACUGCCGGUGACCUCCUUGAGGAAGGUGGGGAUGACGUCCCGUCAUCAUGGCCCUUAUGACCAGGGCUACACACGUGCUACAAUGGGUGGUACAGAGGGAAGCGAUACCGCGAGGUGGAGCAAAUCCCAGAAAGCCAUCCGUAGUCCGGAUCGGAGUCUGCGUCUCGACUCCGUGAAGUCGGAAUCGCUUGUAAUCGGGAAUCAGUCUGUCGCGGUGAAUACGUUCCCGGGCCUUGUACACACCGCCUGUCACAUCAUGGGAGUUUGUUGCACCAUAAUCAUGUUGUUUAACCUCAAGAGAGGGCGCUUGCCACGGUGUGGCCGAUGACUGGGGUGAAGUCGUAACAAGGUAACC
rnacentral:rRNA from 1 species